UGGGGAAUUUUGGACAAUGGGGGCAACCCUGAUCCAGCCAUGCCGCGUGAGUGAAGAAGGCCUUCGGGUUGUAAAGCUCUUUCGGACGGAACGAAACGGUUACGGUGAAUAUCCGUGACUAAUGACGGUACCGUAAGAAGAAGCACCGGCUAACUACGUGCCAGCAGCCGCGGUAAUACGUAGGGUGCGAGCGUUAAUCGGAAUUACUGGGCGUAAAGCGUGCGCAGGCGGUUCGCCAAGUCAGGUGUGAAAUCCCCGGGCUUAACCUGGGAAUUGCGCUUGAAACUAGCGGGCUUGAGUGCGGCAGAGGGGGGUGGAAUUCCACGUGUAGCAGUGAAAUGCGUAGAGAUGUGGAGGAACACCGAUGGCGAAGGCAGCCCCCUGGGUCAAGAUUGACGCUCAUGCACGAAAGCGUGGGGAGCAAAC
rnacentral:rRNA from 1 species